GACGAACGCUGGCGGCGUGCUUAACACAUGCAAGUCGAACGAAGCGGCGUACGGGUGAGUAACUCGUAAUCACCCUGCCCUUCAGAGGGGGACAACAGUUGGAAACGACUGCUAAUACCGCACACUGAAGGAGGGGAUUGCGUCUGAUCGGCUAGUUGGAGGGGGAGCGGCCCACCAAGGCGAUGAUCGGUCGCCGGUCUGAGGGGAGGGACGGGCACAUAUGGACUGGGACACGCGCCAGACUCCUACGGUAGGCAGCAGUGGGGAAUCUUCCGCAAUGGACGAAAGUCUGACGGAGGAACGCCGCGUGAGUGAUGACGGCCUUCGGGUUGUAAAGCUCUGUUGAUCGGGACGCGGUACCGGAAUAGAAAGCCACGGCUAACUACGUGCCAGCAGCCGCGGUAAUUC
rnacentral:rRNA from 1 species